rnacentral:rRNA from 1 species
UGCCAGCCGCCGCGGUAAUACGGAGGGUGCAAGCGUUGUUCGGAAUUAUUGGGCGUAAAGCGCACGUAGGCGGACUGGAAAGUUGGGGGUGAAAUCCCAGGGCUCAACCCUGGAAGUGCAUUGGAUACUGGCAGUCUUGAGUAUGGGAGAGGAAAGUGGAAUUCCGAGUGUAGGAGUGAAAUCCGUAGAUAUUCGGAGGAACACCAGUGGCGAAGGCGGCUUUCUGGACCAAUACUGACGCUGAGAUGCGAAAGCGUGGGGAGCGAACAGGAUUAGAUA